rnacentral:rRNA from 1 species
UACGGAGGGUGCAAGCGUUGUUCGGAAUUAUUGGGCGUAAAGGGCGUGUAGGCGGUUUGGUAAGUCAGAUGUGAAAGCCCUGGGCUUAACCCAGGAAGUGCAUUUGAAACUACCAGACUUGAGUAUGGGAGAGGAGAGUGGAAUUCCCAGUGUAGAGGUGAAAUUCGUAGAGAUUGGGAGGAACAUCCGUGGCGAAGGCGACUCUCUGGACCAAUACUGACGCUGAGACGCGAAAGAGUGGGGAGCAAACAGG